AUAGAGUAAGCCAUUUAUGUUAACAGGAGGAACCGAAUAACUUUGUUUGAAUUCAGAAAGAUAUAUAACGCAGGCCUGCUGACUUUCAGAAUCUUGAAUGCUUCUUUAUCAGUAUUACAAUGAUGUUACUAUUUCCAGCGCCAAAAGAAGAAGAAGAAGAAAUGAUAUAAUGAUGAACAAACAACACAAGCACAAAUAGUUUCUCAAUUCCUCUAGUUAUUUAAGAAGGUUAAAAAAAAAAAGUUAUGUAAGAACUCUAUUACAGAAAGAAACUUGUAGACUGUGACGCCUAGCGCAGAGAUUUACAUACAUCGAGUUAUUUUAUUAUCCUCUUCAGCCAAUCUAACAACAGCUUCAAGUCUCAACAGCAUUUAUGCCGCAACAAGCUUCUGAAUCUCAUAUGUAGAUCUUGUGUUUCUAUUCAUCAGUGUCUGAUUCUACCUGCAUCCUGACCACAAAGGCAUCACCCCUUCAUACUGUUCAUGGUAAUUCAGAGGAACCAAUGUGCCAAAGAUGUCCAAAUUUUUAAAGUAAAAAAAGAAAUAUACCUCUAUUUGGAAAGGCGAUGUUGUCGGUGGAUAUCUCUCCACGACCUUACCAUUCUUGUCCACCAAGAACUUCUCAAAGUUCCAUUUGAUCAGGUCACCUAAAAAUCCUCCAGCACUUGACU
rnacentral:lncRNA from 1 species